AGUGAGUAAAUAAUGGAAAAUGUAAAAAAAAAAAAUAACAAGUAAUAGAUACUAGAUAUAUUUAGAUAUUGUACUACUAUUUUUCAGAUGCUGAAUACAGCUUUCUCCCUUUGCCCUCUACUUCGCAGCCACCACAAGGACUUACUUUUGAAAAAACACUAGAUUCUACAUUAACUGAACGUGAGAAGAUCCUGCUGAGUUAUUUGACUCAAACUAAAUUAAGCUUAAAGCGUUUGGCAGUCGAAAUGCGAACUGUGAGGAAGACACUAAUAAAUUGUUUGUAGCUUAUAACGAUAUUAGCAGGGUCCGCACUGACAUGCCUAAUAGAAAUAAUAAUGAUGACAUUCAAGUUGUUGAUGAGAUAGUUUAUCCUGUUUUGUCUUUGC
rnacentral:misc_RNA from 1 species